rnacentral:tRNA from 2 species
GCGUCUGUGGCUCAACUGGAUAGAGUAUCGGACUUCGGAUCCGACGGUUAUAGGUUCGAAUCCUAUCAGGCGCACCA